GACGAACGCUGGCGGCAUGCCUAAUACAUGCAAGUCGAGCGAAUGAAGAAGAAGCUUGCUUCUUUCUGAUUUAGCGGCGGACGGGUGAGUAACACGUGGGCAACCUGCCCUGUAGAUUGGGAUAACUCCGGGAAACCGGGGCUAAUACCGAAUAACCCAUUUCCUCACAUGUGGAAAUGUUAAAAGACGGUCUCGGCUGUCACUACAGGAUGGGCCCGCGGCGCAUUAGCUAGUUGGUAGGGUAACGGCCUACCAAGGCGACGAUGCGUAGCCGACCUGAGAGGGUGAUCGGCCACACUGGGACUGAGACACGGCCCAGACUCCUACGGGAGGCAGCAGUAGGGAAUCUUCCACAAUGGACGAAAGUCUGAUGGAGCAAUGCCGCGUGAGUGAAGAAGGUUUUCGGAUCGUAAAACUCUGUUGUGAGGGAAGAACAAGUACGAGAGUAACUGCUCGUACCUUGACGGUACCU
rnacentral:rRNA from 1 species